UACGUAGGGAGCAAGCGUUAUCCGGAUUUAUUGGGUGUAAAGGGUACGUAGGCGGUUUUACAGGUCUGUGGUUUAAGCCCGAAGCUUAACUUCGGUUCGCCACAGAAACCGUAAAACUAGAGUAUGGUAGAGGCAAGCGGAAUUUCUAGUGUAGCGGUAAAAUGCGUAGAUAUUAGAAGGAACACCAGUGGCGAAGGCGGCUUGCUGGGCCAAAACUGACGCUGAGGUACGAAAGCGUGGGGAGCAAAUA
rnacentral:rRNA from 1 species